UACGUAGGGUGCAAGCGUUGUCCGGAAUUACUGGGCGUAAAGGGCUCGUAGGUGGCCAACUAAGUCAGACGUGAAAUCCCUCAGCUUAACUGGGGAACUGCGUCUGAUACUGGAUGGCUUGAGUUUGGGAGAGGGAUGCGGAAUUCCAGGUGUAGCGGUGAAAUGCGUAGAUAUCUGGAGGAACACCGGUGGCGAAGGCGGCUUUCUGGGUCUUACCUGACGCUGAGGAACGAAAAGCUAGGGGAGCGAACGGG
rnacentral:rRNA from 1 species